GAUGAACGCUGGCGGCGUGCCUAAUACAUGCAAGUCGAGCGAACAGACGAGGAGCUUGCUCCUCUGACGUUAGCGGCGGACGGGUGAGUAACACGUGGAUAACCUACCUAUAAGACUGGGAUAACUUCGGGAAACCGGAGCUAAUACCGGAUAAUAUAUUGAACCGCAUGGUUCAAUAGUGAAAGACGGUUUUGCUGUCACUUAUAGAUGGAUCCGCGCCGCAUUAGCUAGUUGGUAAGGUAACGGCUUACCAAGGCGACGAUGCGUAGCCGACCUGAGAGGGUGAUCGGCCACACUGGAACUGAGACACGGUCCAGACUCCUACGGGAGGCAGCAGUAGGGAAUCUUCCGCAAUGGGCGAAAGCCUGACGGAGCAACGCCGCGUGAGUGAUGAAGGUCUUCGGAUCGUAAAGCUCUGUUAUUAGGGAAGAACAAAAGUGUAAGUAACUAUGCACGUCUUGACGGUACCUAAUCAGAAAGCCACGACUAACUACGUG
rnacentral:rRNA from 1 species